UCCGUAGGCGGGUAAUUAAGUCAGAGGUGAAAUCACACAGCUUAACUGUGGAACUGCCUUAGAUACUGGUUAUCUUGAGUUUUAGUGAAGUAGAUAGAAUGUGUAGUGUAGCGGUGAAAUGCAUAGAUAUUACACAGAAUACCGAUUGCGAAGGCAGUCUACUAACUAACAACUGACGCUAAUGGACGAAAGCGUGGGGAGCGAACAGGAUUAGAUACCCUGGUAGUCC
rnacentral:rRNA from 1 species